rnacentral:rRNA from 1 species
AUACGUAGGGUGCGAGCGUUGUCCGGAAUUACUGGGCGUAAAGAGCUCGUAGGUGGUUUGUCGCGUCGUCUGUGAAAUUCCGGGGCUUAACUCCGGGCGUGCAGGCGAUACGGGCAUAACUUGAGUACUGUAGGGGAGACUGGAAUUCCUGGUGUAGCGGUGAAAUGCGCAGAUAUCAGGAGGAACACCGGUGGCGAAGGGGGGUCUCUGGGCAGUAACUGACGCUGGGGAGCGAAAGCAUGGGUGGCGAACAGGAUUAGAUACCCUGGUGGUCCAGGCCGUAAACGGUGGGCGCUAGGUGUAGGGGUCUUCCACGACUUCUGUGCCGUAGCUAACGCAUUAAGCGCCCCGCCUGGGGAGUACGGCCGCAAGGCUAAAACUCAAAGGAAUUGACGGGG